GAACUACUUGUCGACUGAAGAGGCACCUAACACCAUGCAUAUACAUAUAAGUAGGAGUUGAGGGCACUAGGAAACAUGGUAUGAGUCACAUAAGGAAAAGAUGUCCCACACUGUUGUGGGGUGCUACAACAAUGGCAACACCAUCAUGGUAAGGUGGUCGUGUGCUCGACACCGCAGGCUGACUCGUCGCCGAUGGUUCAUUUGAACGGCAAUGAAAGUGUGUGGGAGUACCAAUGGCAUGGUUACUCCAUCACAGUUGGUCUUUUGUUGAGACAGAAGGUGCGGCACAAGAGCAUUCCUCAUCCUAAUUGGUGGCGAUCCGAAUUUCUUGUGAGCUAAUUCGAUAGUAUAGAGUUGGCCUGUGACAUUCAGGCUGUGGCAUGUUCAGUUCGCAUGUGCUGCUGUAAAUUUGUGGAAUUUGUAAUUCAGUAGAACUCUUGGCUAACCUAUGUUCACAUAUAUUAAAUUAAUAAACCAAACCGGAAUUAUUUCGUUGAUAAAUAUUGGAUUCACGUAUCAAGUCUUUACAAAUGUAACGAUUGAAGACCAUUAGAGAUGACGGGGUCCAUUUGAGGUGUCGACUACUGUUGGAAAUGAGCUAAGAGAAUUAUACUUCCACUUGGGCCCUGGACAAUUGGCAUGUUCCUUGAUGUUGGACCCAAGAUGGCAACCCAUUUAGAGUCCAUCAGGUUGAUCAUUAGGCAAAUUGACAGCAUAUAUAUGUACCCCUUAACCUGCCCCAUAAUGAUGUUAAGGAUGCACUUAUACCAGGAACCUUAUGCCUAUAAAUAAACCCCAUGGUUAUGGAAGAAAUGAGAGGAAAUAUUACCAGAAAAUCGAGAAAUUAUUGAAAGUCUCUAGUUCUAGUGCAUUGGAGUUCCAUUUCCACACCUCCUUGCACUAAAUGAAAAACUAUUGUCCUUUGAGGGCAACACACCUCCUCUUAAUAAGCUAAGUUUAUACAAGAACUUUACAUUACUGUACACUAUACACAUAACAUAUGUAUAUGCAUGUAUAUGAGUACGUAUAGGAAUAGGAGGCAUCAAGAAGAAAUAUUGUACGAGUAGCUCGAUCCGAGGAACGAGGUCCUACACUGGUAUGAUUGCUGCUAGGUACUCUCCAAACAACUUAAUUUACUAAUUAAGUCGACGUCAUGCUCCAACUUAACGUUGAUAUCUCAGCGAUGGUAAAAAUUUCUUCUUUUUUUUUUCGGGAACACGGUAAAAUUUUCAGCCUGCAUGCUGUCCACUGUACAUAUGAGAGAUUGCACAACGCUAUGUAAAAAAGCACAUCCAUGCUUUGUGGUGAUGUAUUGAUCCGAGCAUGCAUUCAAUUCGUUUUCCUUGCCUAGACUAGAUUGUAGCCUUGAGAAGAUGCGAAGUGGUUCAAGAUAGUGUAGUUGGUUCAAGAUAGUGUAGUGUGGAGGAAUUAAUAAUAUAUUGAACCCAAGCGAA